rnacentral:rRNA from 1 species
UGGCCAGACUCCUACGGGAGGCAGCAGUGGGGAAUAUUGGGCAAUGGGCGCAAGCCUGACCCAGCAACGCCGCGUGAAGGAAGAAGGCUUUCGGGUUGUAAACUUCUUUUGUCAGGGACGAAGCAAGUGACGGUACCUGACGAAUAAGCCACGGCUAACUACGUGCCAGCAGCCGCGGUAAUACGUAGGUGGCAAGCGUUAUCCGGAUUUACUGGGUGUAAAGGGAGCGUAGGCGGGAUUGCAAGUUGGAUGUGAAAACUGCGGGCUCAACCCGGAGCGUGCAUUCAAAACUGCGAUUCUUGAGUGAAGUAGAGGCAAGCGGAAUUCCUAGUGUAGCGGUGAAAUGCGUAGAUAUCAGGAGGAACACCGGCGGCGAAGGCGGCCUGCUGGACCGUGACUGACGUUGAGGCUCGAGAGCGUGGGGAGCAAACAGGAUUAGAUACCCGUGUA